UGGGGAAUCAUAGUCAAUGGGCGAAAGCCUGAACCUGCGACGCCGCGUGAGUGAUGAAGGUCGUAAGAUCGUAAAACUCUUUUCAGGGAUCUUAAAGCCUGUCUGUCAACAACGGCUGUGUGUGACUCUCCCUGGAAGAAGCCCCAGCCAACUACGUGCCAGCAGCUGCGGUAAUACGUAGGGGGCGAGCGUUAUUCGGAAUUACUGGGUGUAAAGGGUAUGUAGGCGGCCCUUCAAGUCGCGUGUCAAAGUCCAGUGCUCAACGCUGGGUGUGCGCGCGAUACUGACGGGCUUGAGGGCUGGAGAGGUGAGCGGAAUUCCCGGUAUAGUGGUAAAAUACGUAGAGAUCGGGAGGAACACCAGCGGCGCAGGCGGCUCACUAGACAGUUUCUGACGCUAAGGUACGAAAGCGUGGGGAGCAAACA
rnacentral:rRNA from 1 species